rnacentral:lncRNA from 1 species
CUCCACUUGAAAAAUCAUAGUGGUUGAUAUAGGAAUCAGCAAAGUCUUUGAAGUUCUCUGGCAUGCAAGGAAAUUACAAUUUGGUUCUUAACUGAAAGGAAAAAUGUAAAACAGAUCUCCACCUUCUUCAGUGACAUUGGCAUGUUAGCAGUACUUACCAUCUGCCACACAUGGUAUUAGCGGAGGUUUUAUCUGUCUG